GAUGAACGCUAGCGGCAGGCCUACCACAUGCAAGUCGAGGGGUAACUAGAGUGAUAGCAAUAUUACUUUGGCUAGACCGGCGCACGGGUGCGUAACACGUAUGCAACCUACCUUAUACUGGGGAAUAACUUCGAGAAAUCGGCGCUAAUACCCCAUAACAUUGCGAAGAGGCAUCUCUUUGCAAUUAAAGCUCCGGCGGUAUAAGAUGGGCAUGCGUCCAAUUAGCUAGUUGGUGAGGUAACGGCUCACCAAGGCUACGAUUGGUAGGGGUUCUGAGAGGAUGAUCCCCCACACUGGUACUGAGACACGGACCAGACUCCUACGGGAGGCAGCAGUGAGGAAUAUUGCGCAAUGGACGAAAGUCUGACGCAGCCAUGCCGCGUGCAGGAUGACGGCCCUAUGGGUUGUAAACUGCUUUUGUACGGGAAUAAACCCUUCUACGUGUAGGAGGCUGAAGGUACCGUAAGAAUAAGCACCGGCUAACCCCGUGCCAGCCGCCGCGUAAAAC
rnacentral:rRNA from 1 species